rnacentral:rRNA from 1 species
UAUACUAAUUGACUUUGACUGCGAAUGGCUCAUUAUAUCAGUUAUAGUUUAUUUGGUGAAGGAUACUAAUUGGAUAACCGUAGUAAUUCUAGGGCUAAUACAUGAGUAAAGUCCCGUGGGGAUGUGUUUAUUAGAAUGAAAACCAUAUGCUUCGGCAUGAUAGUGAGUAAUAGUAACCUAUCGUAUCGCAUGCUAUAAGUAGCGAUGAGUCUUUCAAGUUUCUGCCCUAUCAGCUUUCGAUGGUAGCAUAUGGGUCUACCAUG